rnacentral:rRNA from 1 species
CCCUACGGGGGGCAGCAGUAGGGAAUCUUCCCCAAUGGGCGAAAGCCUGAUGGAGCAACGCCGCGUGGGUGAAGAAGGUCUUCGGAUCGUAAAACCCUGUUGUUAGAGAAGAAAGUGCGUGAGAGUAACUGUUCACGUUUCGACGGUAUCUAACCAGAAAGCCACGGCUAACUACGUGCCAGCAGCCGCGGUAAUACGUAGGUGGCAAGCGUUAUCCGGAUUUAUUGGGCGUAAAGGGAACGCAGGCGGUCUUUUAAGUCUGAUGUGAAAGCCUUCGGCUUAACCGGGGUAGUGCAUUGGAAACU